GGUAUCAUGGCAGAGUGGUUAUCGCAGAUUACUGUUAAUAAUUCUAUUCAGAGGUUCGAAUCCUCUUGAUACCU
rnacentral:tRNA from 5 species